rnacentral:rRNA from 1 species
GUCUCUUCGCUUAUAAUGCUAGUCUCUUGGGAGGUUUGGAAAGAGAGAGAUGCGAGGGUGUUCGAGAAGAAAUCCUCAAUGCCUACCACGGUGCUAGAGGGCAUCAAGGUGGAGGCCAGGAAUUGGGUUUUGGCCGGGACUAAACACUUGGGAUCCUUGAUGCCGCAGAGUAGCCUUUUGUUUUUCGCAUUUGUUGAGGAGUAA